rnacentral:rRNA from 1 species
GACGAACGCUGGCGGCGUGCCUAAUACAUGCAAGUCGAGCGCAGGAAACUGACGGAACUCUUCGGAGGGAAGGCAGUGGAAUGAGCGGCGGACGGGUGAGUAACACGUAAGGAACCUGCCUCAAGGAUUGGGAUAACCCCGAGAAAUCGGAGCUAAUACCGGAUAGUUCAACGGACCGCAUGGUCCGCUGAUGAAAGGCGCUUCGGCGUCACCUUGAGAUGGCCUUGCGGUGCAUUAGCUAGUUGGUGGGGUAACGGCCCACCAAGGCGACGAUGCUUAGCCGACCUGAGAGGGUGAUCGGCCACACUGGGACUGAGACACGGCCCAGACUCCUACGGGAGGCAGCAGUAGGGAAUCUUCCACAAUGGACGAAAGUCUGAUGGAGCAACGCCGCGUGAGUGAUGACGGUUUUCGGAUCGUAAAACUCUGUUGUAAGGGAAGAACACGUACGAGAGGAAAUGCUCGUACCUUGACGGUACCUUACGAGAAAGCCACGGCUAACUACGUGCCAGCCGCCGCGGUAA